rnacentral:misc_RNA from 1 species
AAGUCGUAACAAGGUUUCCGUAGGUGAACCUGCGGAAGGAUCAUUGCAGCAGUCAUGCCGAGGGGUUGAAGCUGGCCUCCGGGCACCCGUGCUCGCCCCUCGGCUUUCCACGCUCACGCACCUGUGCACUCGCGGCGAGGGGGGUUAACCCCCCCCCUCCCGUUCUCUCACACCCACGCCAGUUUGUAAACGCAUGUGAACAUCGUGCGCCCCGAGGGGCCACGUGAACUUAGAAACAACUUUCAACAACGGAUCUCUUGGCUUUC